rnacentral:rRNA from 1 species
CCCUGGCUCAGGACGAACGCUGGCGGCGUGCCUAAUACAUGCAAGUCGAGCGGAUUUAAUUGAAAGCUUGCUUUCAAUUAAGUUAGCGGCGGACGGGUGAGUAACACGUGGGUAACCUGCCUUUAAGACUGGGAUAACAUUCGGAAACGGAUGCUAAUACCGGAUAGGCGAUUUGGUCGCAUGAUCGAAUCGAGAAAGAUGGAGCAAUCUAUCACUUAGAGAUGGACCCGCGGCGCAUUAGCUAGUUGGUGAGGUAACGGCUCACCAAGGCGACGAUGCGUAGCCGACCUGAGAGGGUGAUCGGCCACACUGGGACUGAGACACGGCCCAGACUCCUACGGGAGGCAGCAGUAGGGAAUCUUCCGCAAUGGACGAAAGUCUGACGGAGCAACGCCGCGUGAGUGAUGAAGGUUUUCGGAUCGUAAAGCUCUGUUGCCAGGGAAGAACGCUUGGGAUAGUAACUGCUUCCCAAGGUGACGGUACCUGAGAAGAAAGCCCCGGCUA